rnacentral:ncRNA from 1 species
UAAAGAUACUCCUGCCCAGUCACAGUCGGAGCGUACAGCAAGAUGGGAACUUGUGAGGCGUCAAAGGCAAUGAGGGUAGCUCGGAGAGAUCCUCGGAGACGUGAAACUCGUGUG